GAAUUAGCAGCUUCGUUAAAUGUAUGAGAGAUGAGCGACAGUCUGCAUGCUUCCUGAGGACUAGUAAAAGAUAGGACGUGAGCCACACAGCCUUCAGUUUCAGGUAAUUUCGACAUUUCUCUUGUUCCUCCACUAGCGUACUUUGUACUUCUCUGCACUAAUGAAAGGUAUAGAUGUCAGACCCUGCUUUAAGAGUAUGUUUGGGAACGGAGGAAAGU
rnacentral:misc_RNA from 1 species